rnacentral:lncRNA from 1 species
AUGGUGGGGAAAUCAAUGGGAUUUUGGGGUGGAUUUGGGGCAUUUUGGGGUCAAAUAUGGGAUUUUUGGGGUCUUUAUGGGGUCCUCCUGAUACAGGGGGGGUCAGUGGGAUCUGGAGACCCCAAAAAGGUUCUUUUUGACCCCAAAACUGGGCUGAAAAUGGUCAAUUUUGGGGCAAAAUGGACUGAAAAUGGUGGGGAAAUCAAUGGGAUUUUGGGAUCAAAUAUGGGGUUUUUGGGGUCAGAUAUGGGGUUUUUGGGGUCAGAUAUGGGGUAUUUGGGGUCUUUAUGGGGUCUUCCUUAUAUGGGGGGGGGGUCUAUAGGGUGGAAUGACCCCAAAAAGGUCCUUUUUGACCCCAAAAAUCCCCCCUUUCUUAUAGGGAAGCCCUGGAGGACGAUGCUGGCAAAGCAGGAGGCGACUCGAUCCCAAAGGCCGCCUCACCCAGCGCCACUGGAAAGAGGUAAUGGGGGUUAAUGGGGUUAAUGGGGUUAUGGGGUGGGUUAUGGGGUGGGAUAUGGACUUAAUGGGGUUAUGGGGUGGGAUAUGGGGUUAUGGGGUUAUGGGGUGGGUUAUGGGGUGGGAUAUGGGGUUAAUGGGGUUAUGGGGUUAAUGGGGUUAUGGGGUGGGAUAUGGGGUUAAUGGGGUUAUAGGGUGGGUUAUGGGGUUAUGGGGUUAAUGGGGUUAUGGGGUGGGAUAUGGGGUUAAUGGGGUUAUGGGGUGGGAUAUGGGGUUAAUGGGGUUAUGGGGUGGGUUAUGGGGUUAAUGGGGUUAUGGGGUUAAUGGGGUUAUGGGGUGGGAUAUGGGGGUUAUGGGGUUUAUGGGGUUAAUGGGGUUAUAGGGUGGGUUAUGGGGUUAAUGGGGUUAUGGGGUGGGAUAUGGGGUUAAUGGGGUUAUGGGGUUUAUGGGGUGCCAAGCGAAGAUUUUGGGCUGAAAAUGGGGGGAAAUCAUGGGGUUUUUGGGGUGGAUUUGGGGCAUUUUGGGGUCAAUGAUGGGUGGUUUUGGGGUUAAAUGUGGGGUUUUUUGGGUCUUCCUUAUAUGGGAAGGGGAUCCUAUAGGGUGGGCCUGAACCCAAAAUGUCUUUUUGACCCCAAAAUUGGCUGAAAAUGGUCCAAUUUUGGGCAAAUGGACUGACCACAAUAUGGGGGGGAUAAUGUAAGUGGUGAUUUUGGGUCGCAAAUAUGGGGUUUUUUGGGUCAGAUAUGGGGUAUUUGGGGUCUUUUUGGGGUUUCUUUUAUGGGGGGGGGGUCAGUGGGAUCUGGAGACCCGCAAUAAAGUCCUUUUUGACCGAAGAUUGGGUCUGAAA